rnacentral:lncRNA from 1 species
AAAGUAAGCACAAGGAAACAGAUAAAGAGGACGAAUUGAAGCAAAUGCAACAUGAAAUUGAUGACAAAAACAACAAACCCCAAGACAGUACCAGAACCCAAUCCGACCAAGGGAACACUGUUUUCUCAGACCUAAGAAUCCAAAAACAAGUAGAAGAAGGAAACAUUAAAGGUCUUCCCCAUCAACAAGUUCCACAACCAAGUGAUUUCAAC